rnacentral:rRNA from 1 species
UACGUAGGGGGCAAGUGUUGUCCGGAUUCAUUGGGCGUAAAGAGCGUGUAGGCGGCCAGGUAGGUCGGUUGUGAAAACUGGAGGCUCAACCUUCAGAGGUCGACCGAAACCAUCUGGCUAGAGUCCGGGAGAGGAGAGUGGAAUUCCUGGUGUAGCGGUGAAAUGCGCAGAUAUCAGGAAGAACACCCGUGGCGAAAGCGGCUCUCUGGAACGGUACUGACGCUGAGACGCGAAAGCGUGGGGAGCGAACAGG